rnacentral:rRNA from 1 species
UCGAACGCGAAAGCCCCUUCGGGGGUAAGUAGAGUGGCGUCCGGGUGAGUAACACGUAGGUAAUCUACCUCUGGGUGGGGAAUAACGUCUCGAAAGAGACGCUAAUGCCGCAUAAUGCAGCGGCACCUAAUGGUGAAUGGUUGUUAAAGCGGGGGACCUUCGGGCCUCGCGCCUAGAGAGGAGCCUGCGGCAGAUUAGCUAGUUGGUGAGGUAAUGGCUCACCAAGGCUUCGAUCUGUAGCUGGUCUGAGAGGACGGCCAGCCACACUGGCACUGACACACGGGCCAGACUCCUACGGGAGGCAGCAGUGGGGAAUUUUGGGCAAUGGGCGAAAGCCUGACCCAGCAACGCCGCGUGAGGGAGGAAAUCCUUCGGGAUGUAAACCUCACAAGCAAGGGAAGAGCGCGCAGGGGUCAAUACCCUCUGCGUCCGACGGUACCUUGCGUAAGCCACGGCUAACUACGUGCCAGCAGCCGCGGUAAUACGUAGGUGGCAAGCGUUGUUCGGAAUUAUUGGGCGUAAAGGGCGCGUAGGCGGUUUGUUAAGUCAGCUGUGAAAGCCCGGGGCUCAACCCCGGAGGGUCAGCUGAUACUGGCAGACUAGAGUACAGAAGAGGUAACUGGAAUUCCCGGUGUAGCGGUGAAAUGCGUAGAUAUCGGGAGGAACACCUGAGGCGAAGGCGGGUUACUGGGCUGAUACCGACGCUGAUGCGCGAAAGCCAGGGG